rnacentral:rRNA from 1 species
UACGUAGGGUGCGAGCGUUAAUCGGAAUUACUGGGCGUAAAGCGUGCGCAGGCGGUUCGUUAAGUCAGAUGUGAAAGCCCCGGGCUCAACCUGGGAACUGCAUUUGAAACUGGCGGGCUUGAGUGCGGCAGAGGGGGGUGGAAUUCCGCGUGUAGCAGUGAAAUGCGUAGAGAUGCGGAGGAACACCGAUGGCGAAGGCAGCCCCCUGGGCCGACACCGACGCUCAGGCACGAAAGCGUGGGGAGCAAACAGG